GCCACCUUCCUCACUUAUCACUGAAAAAGCUUCCCAAACUUUUUCUAUAAAUGCAGAGGCUUUCAGCAGUUACACUCCACAUGAUCAUUCCUGCUAAGACCAUCUGACUCUAUUCAUCCAAAACAACAUGAGGAUCAUUUUUAUGCUUUGGGCCCUCUUCCUCUUUCUCUGCCAGCCUAUUCCAGAAAGUACCUGGAUUGGCUCUAGUUAGUCCUCCUGAGAAUAUCAACACUGGGAAGUUUUAAAAUGAAAAUUGUUCUGGAAGAAGGCAAUGGCAAGUCCAUUUCUAUACAUAGGCAGCGUAAUUACAUAGGCCUACCCAUCAAAUCACCAGCGCUCUCCCUCAGGAGUUUGGCAGAGCAAGAGAGAACGAAUGAAUGACACUAACCACAGAGCCAGCCACCAUUACGACAUGCUGGGAUUGCACCAAGGUCAUCAGUAAAGAUAAGCCUCCUGUUGGAAAACAAGGAACUACUGAAAAAGCAACUUUUGAGAUUUUUCAUCUGAAGUCUGGGCCAGUGAUGUUAUGCAGAACAGGAAGUUAUUGCCAAAGUAACCAAAUCUCCAGCUUGUUUCCUCCAGCUUUGCUGUGCUAAUGUUUUCUUAAGACCUCUAUAUGUACAGACAACAUCAACUUUUCCCAUGUAGAGGGGUGCACACAUGAUGUUGUGGAAUUUCAGUGCUGCAAGCAAACAGUGCCUCCAUUAAAUGCAAGGGGAGGGAGAUGAGACACUAGUUUUGCAACUGGAGCAAAUACAAGGUUUAGUGGAAUUCUUGGUGGUCUCUGAGCUUGAUUUUUUUUUUUUUUUUUGUAGUCGUUUCAUUACUCAAGUUCAUUAACAAAAUGUCUGCCAAAAAAACCCAGCCAAGCUCAGAAAACACCAAGGACUUCACAGUUCAACCCUGAGCUACAUUUAUUCUCAUCUAUCAUAAGGUUUUGUCAGGGGUGGGAUUCUAUCAGUUCGCACCUAUUCACUAGAACCAGUUGUUAACAUU